CCUACGGGUUGCAGCAGUGAGGGAUAUUGGUCAAUGGGGGAAACCCUGAACCAGCAACGCCGCGUGAGGGAAGACGGUUUUCGGAUUGUAAACCUCUGUCCUCUGUGAAGAUAAUGACGGUAGCAGAGGAGGAAGCUCCGGCUAACUACGUGCCAGCAGCCGCGGUAAUACGUAGGGGGCAAGCGUUAUCCGGAUUUACUGGGUGUAAAGGGGGCGCAGACGGCAGCGCAAGCCAGGAGUGAAAGCCCGGGGCCCAACCCCGGGACUGCUCUUGGAACUGCGCGGCUGGAGUGCAGGAGGGGCAGGCGGAAUUCCUGGUGUAGCGGUGAAAUGCGUAGAUAUCAGGAGGAACACCGGUGGCGAAGGCGGCCUGCUGGACUGCGACUGACGUUGAGGCCCGAAAGCGUGGGGAGCAAACAGGAUUAGAUACCCCAGUAGUC
rnacentral:rRNA from 1 species